rnacentral:tRNA from 1 species
GCCCUCGAUGGCUCAGAUGGGCAGAGCAUCUGCCAUGUAAGCUGGAGAUCCCGGGUUCGAAUCCUGGUCGGGGCA